GACGAACGCUGGCGGCAGGCCUAACACAUGCAAGUCGAACGCUCGUAGCAAUACGGGAGUGGCAGACGGGUGAGUAACACGUGGGAACCUUCCCUAUGGUUCGGAAUAGCUCAGGGAAACUUGGGGUAAUACCGGAUAAGCCCUUCGGGGGAAAGAUUUAUCGCCAUUGGAUGGGCCCGCGUCGGAUUAGCUAGUUGGUGGGGUAACGGCCUACCAAGGCGACGAUCCGUGACUGGUCUGAGAGGAUGAUCAGCCACACUGGGACUGAGACACGGCGCAGACUCCGACGGGAGGCAGCAGUGGGGAAUAUUGGACAAUGGGCGCAAGCCUGAUCCAGCCAUGCCGCGUGAGUGACGAAGGUCUUCGGAUUGUAAAGCUCUUUUGGCGGGGACGAUAAUGACGGUACCCGCAGAAUAAGCCCCGGCUAACUUCGUGCCAGCCGCCGCGGUAAUAC
rnacentral:rRNA from 1 species